CCUCCUAACUAAAUCUUGUUAAAAUUUUAACUCUUCCAGUUCUUUUAAAUCCUUGAUUCUUUGGUCUCAUCUCAGGCUCCAGCCAUGUGUAAGCUGAUGCUGUAACUGAGGAAAUUCCACUCCUGAGCAGGAGAUAAAAGGCCUGGUUCUUGGCUAGAAGGGUGAGAAGGAUGAGAUGCACACCGUUUAUAUCCAGGUGAUGUCCUGAAGGAGCACUGCCAACCUGCGCCUGCUGCCGAGCACUGUGAUCCAUCUCCUUCUCCUCCACAGCAGAUUUUUAGGAAUCCUGGGGUUGGUCACCUGAAGCAUGUAUUCAGCAGUGCUGAUCCUGAGCUCCUUCUAGAGAAAGAGCAGGAGCAGACUGCUUCAUCAGAGAUGCCAUGCCAGACUCAGGCAGAGCUGUUCCCAGCCCGAGAGCAGGAAGAGCAGCUCAGGCAGCAGAUGGAAGAGCCACAAGAGAAU